GCUGGACCUAGAUGACCUCUAAGGUCAUAUCAACUUGAAUACUUUCCUAUGACUCCAAGAAAUGGUGACAGAACGCUAAAUUCAGUAAGUAAACCCACCUGUUAAAGAAGUAAUGCUGUGGAUUAGAGAAUAGGAUUAGAAAAUGAUAAAAAGAAGAGACAGGGGUUUGGAACUUUGGCCUGGAAAAUAAAAAUUAGUAGAAUGACCAUAAAGACUGGGAAAAGGGAAAGAAAAGAGCAGGCAAGGAGGAAAAUCAAGAUAAAAAAUAAUGCUAAGCUUGGGCAUCAAGAAGGUAAUUUUCAAAAAGUUUUAUUUAAUCUUUCAAGAAAUGUUUAUUGAGCUUUCCAAGUAUCAGGCCUUACUUUAGGUAUUUAAGUUGUAGUUGCUUUCAAAAACUCUCUUUCUUCAUAGAGCUUACAUUCUAGGCUGGGGAAUUCAGGCAAUAAAUAGGAUAAGCAAGUAAAAUGUAUGGUAUGUUGGAUAAUGAUAAGUGGUUAGCAGAGGAAUGAAGUGGGGUCGUGUGGGUAGAGCAUGUAACAUCAGGUGGACUGGGCCAGGAAGACUUUACCGAGUAAGGAUCUGAAGAAAGUGAAGUGAAUAAGCUAUGGUUAUUUUGCUUCCUAGUUCAUGGGGGAAAUGAAAGCACUCAGAAGAACAGUCCAGGCAGGGAGACUAGCAAGUUCAAAGCUUCAUAGAUGGGAGCAUGCCUGAUAUAUUCAAGGAAAGGCUAGGAAACCAGUAAAGCUACAAUGGGAUAAAUGAAGAGGAGGAGAGAAGGAGGGGAGAUGACAAAAAAGACUUUGGAAGAUGUUAAGCAGAGAGUGCCAUAUGACAUACUUGAAUAUGAUAAUUUUAUUGCUGUUUCAACAGAAUCUAAAAAAGAGCAAGGACAGAAAAAGGAAGAGCAGCAAGGAUGCUACUGCACCAACCCAGGUCUAAAAGAAUGGGACUUGAUCCUCUUGACACCAUUUGGAAGAUCAUGUUUAGAAGAACUACAAAAACUAUGCUGGGCUUGUACAUGUCUCAGGACAUAAAUAUGGUUUUCAUAAAGCCCAGAUUGUAUUCCAAAAUAGCCCAUAAGUCCAACAACAGGUGUUAUAUAUUGUACCCUUUUUAAGCACUUUACUUUGAAGAGGGAUACAAAUGAGAGCUUCUGAUGAGAUGACUAGGGAUCUACUGGGCCAGCAUGUCUUGAAGAUGGAGCUUGCUCAUGUGAAUGGCUCAGCAGAUGCAGUGAACUCACAUCCCACUGGAGGCCAUCGCAUGGAGGGGGGGUAGCUGUGCCAAUGUUCAUGUGAAGAGGACACUGGGAAUUGAAGGAGAUCUACCUUUGGUCUGUUCACUGUG
rnacentral:lncRNA from 1 species